rnacentral:rRNA from 1 species
AGAGUUUGAUCCUGGCUCAGGAUGAACGCUAGCUACAGGCUUAACACAUGCAAGUCGAGGGGCAGCAUCAUCAAAGCUUGCUUUGAUGGAUGGCGACCGGCGCACGGGUGAGUAACACGUAUCCAACCUGCCGACAACACUGGGAUAGCCUUUCGAAAGAAAGAUUAAUACCGGAUGGCAUAGUUUUCCCGCAUGGGAUAAUUAUUAAAGAAUUUCGGUUGUCGAUGGGGAUGCGUUCCAUUAGGCAGUUGGCGGGGUAACGGCCCACCAAACCAACGAUGGAUAGGGGUUCUGAGAGGAAGGUCCCCCACAUUGGAACUGAGACACGGUCCAAACUCCUACGGGAGGCAGCAGUGAGGAAUAUUGGUCAAUGGGCGAGAGCCUGAACCAGCCAAGUAGCGUGAAGGAUGACUGCCCUAUGGGUUGUAAACUUCUUUUAUAAAGGAAUAAAGUCGGGUAUGUAUACCCGUUUGCAUGUACUUUAUGAAUAAGGAUCGGCUAACUCCGUGCCAGCAGCCGCGGUAAUACGGAGGAUCCGAGCGUUAUCCGGAUUUAUUGGGUUUAAAGGGAGCGUAGGCGGGUUGUUAAGUCAGUUGUGAAAGUUUGCGGCUCAACCGUAAAAUUGCAGUUGAUACUGGCGACCUUGAGUGCAACAGAGGUAGGCGGAAUUCGUGGUGUAGCGGUGAAAUGCUUAGAUAUCACGAAGAACUCCGAUUGCGAAGGCAGCUUACUGGAUUGUAACUGACGCUGAUGCUCGAAAGUGUGGGUAUCAAACAGGAUUAGAUACCCUGGUAGUCCACACAGUAAACGAUGAAUACUCGCUGUUGGCGAUAUACGGUCAGCGGCCAAGCGAAAGCAUUAAGUAUUCCACCUGGGGAGUACGCCGGCAACGGUG